GAAGAAGAAAAAUCAUGUUUCCAGCUUGGGCUGCUGUUUCAUCUGUUGGACUUGCUUAAAACGUAUGGGUUUGUUUACCCUUCCUGCAGGCAUCCAACCUGGCCUUUUAUUCCUGCUCAAGUAGGACAUGCAGCCUGCUGGGGACCCGUGGCUCAAAUCCUCCAACUGCAGGACUGCUGGCCCUGGGACUCAUGAAUAAUGGAAGUGCAGUAACCACUCCUUACAGCCCAGACGACUUUCCAGGAGCAGGCUGUACCCCGAAAGUAAACAAGGAACAAGGGGCAAGGAGACAGAGAGAGAUGGGGAAAUAUCCUCACCAACAGCCCUGCUGCAGUGAAAACUGGAGGCCACUUCUCCCGCUGAGGGCAGUGAGGAGCCUGCCAGCCCUGCUGCUUUGGAAAGCCCAGAGGACCAAGAAACUGAGGCUUCAGGGGAAAGGUGGGGAGAGGAGAGGCAAGCAGCAGCGAACUGCUGGAACGCCUGCAAAUGGGCUGCUCCGAAGGCUCUGGGGCCUUGGUUCUGCUCUGCACAGAGCUGGCUGUCCUGGCUGACAUCUGUUGUGACCUCUUCCAAAGUGACUUCGCCCCAUCUCUCUCAGAACGAGCCUGGACAGUGGGUGUGAAUAAGCCCAGUAAUCCUCGAUGAGGAAGCCCCGUGUCCACGUGGGUAGCUCAGUGGGGAGGGGGAAGAACGCAGCUCAAACUUCAGGUAAGAUGGGCCUGGCUCUGCCACUUAGCUGUGUGACCUGAGAUGAGUGUUUCAGCCUCUCUGAGCCUCUGUUUCUUAAUCUACAAAAAUGGCACCAUGAUAUCCACCUAUUGGGUUGUUAUAAAGUUUAAGUAGGAAAAUACACAUGAAGAGCUUUCACUAGCACCUGGGCCUGACUAAUACUUAGUAUUAGAGUUGCUG
ensembl:lincRNA